rnacentral:lncRNA from 1 species
CUUUUUCAUCUGUUGACCAUGCACUUUUUGCUUUGACAGCUCCUUCUUUGGUUGUUGGAACAAAGUCUCCAUCUGUGAUGACUGCCCACAUAUCAUUGUCUUGAGAUCUGAGAAAGAGUUCCAUCUUGCCUUUCCAGAAGUAGUAGUUUGAUCCAUCAAAGAGUGGUGGUCUAUUUGAAGAUCCUCCUUCAGCUAUGUACUUGACUUUAGACAUACUUCCUGAAUCUUUUCUCUAACACUUGUUUAAGUGUUCAAA